GCUAUACGCGUUGCAAAUAAAUCACAAACGUAUAGAUAUUAAUACAACUUAAGUUUCAGUAAGCAUUAAAGAUGCAACUGUCAUUUCUAUCAUUGGUUCUUGCCACAAUUUUUGUCAUGACGAUCAUAUACGCACCCGUGGAAGCAAACGCCGAUGCUGAUCCAGUGGGCGGAGUAAUUGACACGCUCAAGAAAGCAGUGUCAGGUGCAUUGAAUUUUUUGCUAAAUAUAGUAUAAAUAGAAAAUACGAACUAAGAUUUGUUAUCAUAUCGUACUUAUUCUUCAAAAGUGGCAUAAAUUUUAAAAAUUAAAUUUCCUGUACUUUUCAUGAUUUAUAACGUAAUGUUUGUUUAACUCUCGUAUUGUAAUAAUGCGAAAAUCACAUUUGUUGUCGUGUCUUGUUAUGUAUUGUUGUGUCACUUUAAAAGUAAGAAUGCAAUAUAUUAAUAAAAACUUGACUUGUAUUUAAAAGAAAGAAGUAGUUGCAUUUUUCGUGGAAUAAAGAUGAACAUUUGGAUGAAACUCACAACGGAAAAACUGGGAAAAUGAUUGCAAUGAAAAUGUGACUUUACAACGUAUAAUAUGCAUAUAAAUAUUGUUGCGCCCCUGCCUCUGUAUCUUCUAAUUGCGGCUUGAGUCGAGCGACCGCGCGAAGUAUCGCGCGAAGUGAAGAAAGAAGAAGACGGUUGCAGGGGGCAACGUGGUGUCGUCGUUCCGUCACGACUUUCGACGUGUACAUUAUAAAAUACCGCUUGCGACAUAAAAAGACGAUUUAAUUAGCAAUAAACGUUUCGUUAAUUUUUUAAAAGAGUGUGUUAUAUUUAUUUCCCCCGCGUGCGUCCGGGAGUGCCGAUUUCGACUCGCGCGCAAGUGCUCUGCGACGAGCGCAACAAUAUUAUAAUUUAUAGUUUCAAACAAAAAAUUAUAUCUGUAUGUCUCUGUUAUAUUCGUUUUUUUAUUAUGAUAUAGUAAACGACAAGUAUGCAUCAUUGACAUAUUGUGUUUUAUUCAUACAAGUUUAAUGACAUUGUAUUUUUAUUAUAAUUUGUGAUCUUCUACGUUGGAUUUGGGGAAUAAAAAUAGUAUUUAGACAACA